rnacentral:rRNA from 1 species
CCUACGGGAGGCAGCAGUGAGGAAUAUUGGUCAAUGGGCGCGAGCCUGAACCAGCCAAGCAGCGUGAAGGAUGACUGCCCUAUGGGUUGUAAACUUCUUUUGUAAAGGAAUAAAGUGAGGCACGCGUGCCUUUCUGAAUGUACCUUACGAAUAAGGAUCGGCUAACUCCGUGCCAGCAGCCGCGGUAAUACGGAGGAUUCGAGCGUUAUCCGGAUUUAUUGGGUUUAAAGGGAGCGUAGGUGGGUUGUUAAGUUAGUUGUGAAAGUUUGCGGCUCAACCGUAGAAUUGCAUUUGAUACUGGCAGUCUUGAGUACAGUUGAGGUAGGCGGAAUUCGUGGUGUAGCGGUGAAAUGCUUAGAUAUCACGCAGAACUCCGAUUGCGAAGGCAGCUUACUAAGCUGCCACUGACAUUGAUGCUCGAAAGUGUGGGUAUCAAACAGGAUUAGAUACCCUGGUAGUC